ACGCUCGACACCUACGGGAGGCAGCAGUGGGGAAUAUUGCACAAUGGGGGAAACCCUGAUGCAGCGACGCCGCGUGGAGGAAGAAGGUCUUCGGAUUGUAAACUCCUGUUGUUGGGGAAAAAGAGGAUGGUACCCAACAAGGAAGUGACGGCUAACUACGUGUCAGCAGCCGCGGUAAUCUGAGGCGGGCUGGCAAGGC
rnacentral:rRNA from 1 species